AUGAACAAAGCUAGUGGAGGUGAUGGAAUUCCAGUGGAGCUAUUUCAAAUCCUGAAAGACGAUGCUGUGAAAGUGCUGCACUCAAUACGCCGGCAAAUUUGGAAGACUCAGCAGUGGCCACAGGACUGGAAAAGGUCAGUUUUCAUCCCAAUCCCAAAGAAAGGCAAUGCCAAAGAAUGCUCAAACUACCGCCCAAUUGCGCUCAUCUCACAUGCUAGUAAAGUCAUGCUCAAAAUUCUCCAAGCCAGGCUUCAGCAAUACAUGAACUGUGAACUCCCUGAUGUUCAAGCUGGUUUUAGAAAAGGCAGAGGAACCAGAGACCAAAUUGCCAACAUCUGCUGGAUCAUGGAAAAAGCAAGAGAGUUCCAGAAAAACAUCUAUUUCUGCUUUAUUGACUAUGCCAACGCCUUUGGCUGUGUGGAUCACAGUAAACUGUGGAAAAUUCUGAGAGAGAUGGGAAUACCAGACCACCUGACCUGCCUCUUGAGAAAUCUGUAUGCAGGUCAGGAAGCAACAGUUAGAACUGGGCAUGGAACAACAGACUGGUUUCAAAUAGGAAAAGGAGUACGUCAAGGCUGUAUAUUGUCACCCUGCUUAUUUAACUUCUAUGCAGAGUACAUCAUGAGAAAUGCUGGACUGGAAGAAGCACAAGCUGGAAUCAAGAUUGCCGGGAGAAAUAUCAAUAAGCUCAGAUAUGCAGAUGACUCCACCCUGAUGGCAGAAAGUGAAGAGGAACUAAAAACUCUCUUGAUGAAAGUGAAAGAGGAGAGUGAAAAAGUUGGCUUAAAGCUCAGCAUUCAGAAAACGAAGAUCAUGGCAUCUGGUCCCAUCACUUCAUGGGAAAUAGAUGGGGGAACAGUGGAAACAGUGUCAGACUUUAUUUUUUUGGGCUCCAAAAUCAUUGCAGAUGGUGACUGCAGCCAUGAAAUUAAAAGACACUUACUCCUUGGAAGAAAAGUUAUGACCAACCUAGAUAGCAUAUUCAAAAGCAGAGGCAUUACUUUGCCAACAAAGGCUAUGGUUUUUCCAGUGGUCAUGUAUGGAUGUGAGAGUUGGACUGUGAAGAAGGCUGAGCACCAAAGAAUUGAUGCUUUUGAACUGUGGUGUUGGAGAAGACUCUUGAGAGACCCUUGGACUGCAAGGAGAUCCAACCAGUCCAUUCUGAAGGAGAUCAGCCCUGGGAUUUCUUUGGAAGGAAUGAUGCUAAAGCUGAAACUCCAGUACUUUGGCCACCUCAUGCAAAGAGUUGACUCAUUGGAAAAGACUUUGAUGCUGGGAGGGAUUGGAGGCAGGAGGAGAAGGGGACGACAGAGGAUGAGAUGGCUGGAUGGCAUCACGGACUCGAUGGACAUGAAUCUGAGUGAGCUCCGGGAGUUGGUGAUGGACAGGGAGGCCUGGCAUGCUGUGACUCAUGGGAUUGCAAAGUCAGACACGACUGAGCAACUGAAUUGA
rnacentral:lncRNA from 1 species